rnacentral:rRNA from 1 species
AAUUUUGGACAAUGGGGGAAACCCUGAUCCAGCCAUCCCGCGUGUGCGAUGAAGGCCUUCGGGUUGUAAAGCACUUUUGUCAGGGACGAAAAGGUUCUGGCUAAUACCCGGAACUGAUGACGGUACCAGAAGAAGAAGCACCGGCUAACUACGUUCCAGCAGCCGCGGUAAUACUGAGGGUGCAAGCGAUAAUCGUAAUUAUUGGGCGUAAAGCGUGCGCAGGCGGUUCGGAAAGAAGGAUGUGAAAUCCCAGGGCUCAACCAUGGAACUACAUUCUUAACUACCGAACUAGAGAAUGUCAGAGGGUGGUAGAAUUCCGCGUGUAGCAGUGAAAUGCGUAGAUAUGCGGAGGAAUACCGAUGGCGAAGGCAGCCCCCUGGGAUAAUACUGACGCUCAUGCACGAAAGCGUGGGUAGCAAACAGG